UGGAGCUGAAGCGGUCCUUCCACAUGAGCGUCAAAAUCCAUCGUUGCGUCUUUCCAUUCAAGAAGGACUCGCUGAUAAAGAAAAUGCUCGAUUAAGCCUUCAAGAAUUGGAAGCUCUUGAUGAAAAGAGGCUAGAAGCUCGACAAAGCCUUGAAUGUUAUCAAGCUCGCCUGUCUCAAUCUUUUAACAAAAUGAUACGCCUUAGAUCUUUCCAAGUGGGUGACCAAGUUAUUGUGGUCAAAAGGCCUAUUAUUACCUCUCGUCGAUCUGGGGGCAAAUUCUGUGCUAAGUGGGAUGGACCAUAUAUCGUACAAGAGGUAUACUCAAGUGGCUCUUACAAGAUAGUUGACUCAGAAGGUUUGUGGAUUGGCCCCAUCAAUGGGAAAUUCAUGAAGAGAUACUAUCCUUGAAGAAAACAAAAUAUGCUCCUUAACACGUGAGCACAAAUUGCAUGUUACUCAUAGCCUGCAAGAGUAUAAACUGUGCACAGUCCAAAAAAAGUCCGCUAGGUUGAAAACCUCAAAAAAGGUAGUAGGCAAAAGUUAGGACAUCCAAAAAAAUAAAGUCCUCUAGGUUGAAACCUCGAAAAAGGCGGCCUAGGCAAAAGUUAGGACACAAAAAAAACAACAAAAACAAACUCACUCAUUUUGAACUACGUAUCUCUUCACCGAGGUACGUAGGCAGCUUAGAGUUUCAUUCUUAGUUCAGUCAUACGAGUUCAAAAAAUACAUAUUACCCAAGUCAUUCUUCAAAUGAGGUAUGAUGGAAUAUGUUUCACUUGAUUGACACUUGAAAAUUGGUUGUACAUGUAUUCAUUCGUUGAACUCUCUAUCUUAUCUUGAUGGCUCAGCGGGAGCACGUCCUUUAUGUCAAAUUGAGGUCUUUGAUGGAGUGAUUGUAGUUUCUUUAAUAAGAGGCUAAAUAUUCAAGUUGAAAGCUCCAAUUCUAAGUCAAGUUAAUUUUGUCAAGUCUAUUACAUCAUCAAUUUGAAGUACUCAAGCAUGCUAGGUCUUAAAGUUGCAGCAUUCAAGUGAGCCAAGUUACUAAAUCCGUAAAGCAUUAAAAACAAAUACGCUUACUCGUUAUAAACUGCAGAAUGACUUGAUCCACUUCACCAAGAUUGGUACCUUCAAGACAAUUAUAGUCUUUGGCAUGCUGCAAAGUUUUUAAGACCGUCAUUUCUUUUAGCCGAAUUCUUCAAGUUUGCCAAGUCGCCAAGAGGAAUUAUUCGUAUUUUCUAUAUCAUUGGUUUAAAGUCUUUGCAUGCUAAAUCUUCAAGUUGAAGUUGAGUUAAAUUCUUCUAGUCUGCUAAGUCUUCAACCAUCCAAAUCUUCUACGUCUUCAAGUUGAAUUCUUCAAAGUGGCUACAUCUUCAAGUUUAACUCUUACACUUUAACCUUCAAUUUGAAUAUUAAAGUUAAAGUCUUCACAUCCACUAAGUCUUCAAGUCGAAGUCUUCAAAUCUCUCAAGUCUUCUAGUAGAAGCCUUCAAGUAUGCCAUGUCCUCAAGUUGAAAUAUAUAAAGGAUUCUUCGACUGUGAGGUUAUCUUUACUAAAGUAGUAUCUUUGUAAUUGAUUUCUUCUUCUACCUGCAAAAAAAAAGGAGAAACAUGUCUAUAUAAAUGAGAUCAUAAAAUUAAAUGUGAAGAUUGAAGUUGAAGAGAUAUUCUUGGUGGUCACCUUUUUGAAAAUAAAUAAAUCAUGAUUCAUGCAAUAUCUGAUUCAUGUAUCUCGAAAUGAGGACGAGUUUUCUUUACUUUACGCCAAAAGGUCAAAUCUUUUAGUAGUGAAGUAAAAUCUUCAAGUUAGACUAUAUAAUGGACUUUGCUGGUCUUCGUCUUGGACAAAAUAUAGUCUUCCGCUUAGACAGUGUAAUGGUAUUAUCCUCGGACAAAGUAAAGUCUUCAUCCUAGAGGGUUGUCUUCGCAUUGGACAAUGUAUAGUCUUCAUCUUAGACGGUGUAAUGGUCUUAGCCUCGGACAAAGUAAAGUCUUCAGCUUGGAUGAUUGUCUUCUAUUCAGAUAAAAUAAAUCUUUGGCUCAUACAGUGUAAUGGUCUUUGCCUCAGAUAAAAGUAAAGACUUUGGCUUAGAUGGUGUAAUGAUAUUUGCUUAAGAUAAAGUAAAAUCUUUAGCUUAGACGGUGUAAUAGUCUAUGCCUCAGAUAAAAUGAAGUUAAAUCUUCAAACAAGAUGAAUUCAUUAGCUUAGACGGUGCAAUGGUCUUCGCUUCAAAUAAAAUGAAGUCUUUGGCUCAGACGGUGUAAUGGUCUUCGCUUCAAACAAAAUAAAUCUUUGGCUCAUGUAGUGUAAUGAUAUUUGCCUCAGAUAAAAGUAAAGUCUUUGAAUUAGAUGGUGUAAUGAUCUUUACCUAAGAUAAAGUAAAAUCUCUGGCUUAGACGGUGUAAUGGUCUAUACCUCAGAUAUAAUGAAGUUAAAUCUUCAAACAAGAUGAAGUCUUUAGCUUAGACGGUUUAAUGGUCUUUACUUCAAAUAAAAUAAAUCUUUGGACCAGACAGUAUAAUGGUCUAUGCCUCAAAUAAAAUGAAGUUAAAUAUUCAAACAAGAUGAAAUCUUUAGCUUAGACGCUGAUGGUCUUCGCUUCAGACAAAAUAAAUCUUUGGCCUAGAUGGUGUAAUGGUUUAUGCCAAAGAUAAAAUGAAGUUAAAUAUCCAAACAAGAUGAAACCAUUAGCUUAGAUGGUUUAAUGGUCUUCGCUUCAAACGAAAUAAAUCAUUGGCAUAUACAGUGUAAUGGUGUAUUCCUUAGAUAAAAUAAAGUUAAAUCUUCAAAUAAAUAAAGUCUAGCUCAGAUGGUAUAAUGGUCUUCACUACAGACAAAAUAAGUCUUUAGCUCAGACGAUAUUAUGAUCUUCGCUUCAGAUAAAAUAAAAAAUCUUUGGUUCAGACAAAAUAAGGGUAUUCGCCUCAGAUAAAAUAAAUCCAAAUCUUCAAACAAAAGGUUUGUAAGGUUCUCCCACUUAAUGUAUAUAAAGUGAAGAAAGGUAGAGAAAUAAAGUACUACAUGUCAUAAAAAGGGACUAGGAAGAGUUUGGCAUAUACCUGUUGUGCUAUUAAAAAAAGAAGAAGCUUGAAACAAAGAAGAAAGCAUAAGAAAAGAAGAAGAAAUUACCUUCGCGUUAAUGCCUCCAAGUCGUCAAAAGUAGAAUCAAAGCAAUUUGCAAACGCUGAAAUUGG
rnacentral:lncRNA from 1 species